CACUCCCAAUCACCUUCAUGUCCUUCAUGUAUUUGGAAAUGGCUUCCAGAAUGGGAAAUGGUUUAUCCAUCACCUUUCCUGGGAUCAAGAGGAGAAUACUAUGAUCCUGGAAACAUCAGAGGAACACUGCCAAUUAAACCCAGAACUCAACACUGACCUUGCAGACUCCUCAACACACAGGAAAAUAGACAGGAAAAUUGAAUAAAUGACAG
ensembl:lncRNA